GCCUUCGUAGUGUAAUUGAAAGCAUGUUGGGCACGUAUUCAAAAGGCCCGGGUUCGAGUCCCGGCGAGAGCA
rnacentral:tRNA from 1 species